rnacentral:rRNA from 1 species
GACGAACGCUGGCGGCGUGCUUAACACAUGCAAGUCGAACGGAAAGGCCCUGCUUGCAGGGUACUCGAGUGGCGAACGGGUGAGUAACACGUGGGUGAUCUGCCCUGCACUUCGGGAUAAGCCUGGGAAACUGGGUCUAAUACCGGAUAGGAGCCAUUUUUAGUGUGAUGGUUGGAAAGUUUUUUCGGUGUAGGAUGAGCUCGCGGCCUAUCAGCUUGUUGGUGGGGUAAUGGCCUACCAAGGCGGCGACGGGUAGCCGGCCUGAGAGGGUGGACGGCCACAUUGGGACUGAGAUACGGCCCAGACUCCUACGGGAGGCAGCAGUGGGGAAUAUUGCACAAUGGGCGCAAGCCUGAUGCAGCGACGCCGCGUGGGGGAUGACGGCCUUCGGGUUGUAAACUCCUUUCGCUAGGGACGAAGCUUUUGUGACGGUACCUAGAGAAGAAGCACCGGCUAACUACGUA